AGGGGAAGGAAGGGUAGGUCUGGAGCUCUGGGGUGUGUCUGAGGAAGGCUGCUGGAACUGCCUGGGGAACAUGGCUGGCAGCGAGGGCAGAAGGUGCCUGCAGGCUGAGCUGUUGAACAGAUUAUCUACAAAACUAUUUACGGUCCCUAUCACGAUGUGCUGUGCACACCUGGAUUCUCUGACCGUAGACUGAUGGAUUGGUUGACUGCUAUGGGGUUGUAACCACCAGGAACCUCUGCGAUCUGCAGACAUGCUUCCGGGACAGCUUAGGAAGGCUGACGGGCGCCCAAUCGCAGCUGCAAUCAACAGAGCACCUAAGGUUUUAUGACAACAGGCGUAAGACUGAGAGUUCAUUGAAUGGAGUUCUGGGUUCCUGGCUACAACCUGGCCCCGUCCUGCCCACUGCAGUCAUUUGCAGUCCUGGCUGCUUCACUUCGAAUCUACCUCCCAGCUAAGGGCCUGGAAAAGCAUUGGAAAAUGGCCCAAGUGCUUGGGCCCCUGCACCCACGUGAGUGACCCGGAAGAAGCUCCUGGCUCCUGUCCCCAGAUUCACCCAGCUCCGGUCAUUGUGGCCAUUUGGGGAGUGAACCAGCGGAUGGAAGACCUCUCUCUCUCUCUGUCUCUCCCUCUCUUUGUCUGUAACUCUGUCUCUCAAGUAAAUAUAUAAAUUAAAAAAAAAAAAAAAGACUGUUGGGAGUUCUGCUGCUAAAAGGGCCAGUUGACCUCUAAGAUUCUUUUCUGUAUCAGUUAAGAAUUUUGCUACACAGCAUGAAAGGAGUUUCCAGCAGCUUUAAGGAGAGAGUAGUCUGUUUUCCUCUCAUGGGAAAGAAAUCAGAGUUCGGAAUUGGGAUGGCCGCCCCACAGCAUCCACGGGGACCUUGGCUUCCUUCUUUCUUCCUGAUUCGCCAGUCUUAGCCCUGGCGACGGCGUCCAUCCUCACAGGUGCUAACUAUUUGUAGGGUACCAGUGUAUAUGGGCUUCAAUGCCCACCGCUCUAGAAAUCCAGAGACCCCACCCCCACCCCAGGCAUUUCUCCAGGCACCUGGGCUGUGACCUUUGGUACAGGCAUUAGUAAUUCCCAUCUCUGGGCACACAUUCUACUGUUUUUAGCUGUCAACUAUCACAUUUAGUGUGUGGCAUUGCACGGCAUCUCUCUAGAUGUCACACACAUUGCCCCUUGGCAGUGUCGUGCUCGUUGAUUUCCUGGUGCCACCCAGAGCGCAGCAGCCACUGGAGCCUGGUGCCUGUGAAAUGGAUCCUCACCUCCUACAGCCCACCUCUCACAAGUGAGAAUUUGGUUACUUUUUGUUCCCUGUGGGAGAAACACGGGUAGGGGGAAUGGGACACAGCAGGGUACCUUCGGGUUUGCAGCUCUAGGAGCUGUCUGAACUGGAGGGAGACUUGCAAGUCCUUAACAUAUGUGGGAGUUCAGCGAUGGCUGACUCUAUCGCAUAGUUUACUUAGUACUAGGUCAUCUAUUGGUGGGAUAGACUGGGACCACUGAGCGGCUCGGUGGGGACCACGAAGAUGAAGGGAACUCUGGGGAAGACCCACCUUUAUCUGCAGUGGUAGAAAAAGAGGAGGCAGGAGAGGAGACAAAGGAACGCAGAGGGCGGGAGGGAAUGGAGGCCAGCGAGACCUUCAGAAGGAAGACGGGUCAACAGCACCCAAGGCUUCUGUGCGGUGCAGGGGCCACCAGCUCAGCCCUGACCUCCUGACCGGCAGAGAUCAAGGGCAUCAGCUGAACCUGGGCCCUGCUCCUUGUGCUCAGAACAAUGUUUUCCCGAAGGCCAGAGGCUUCGAUGGCCCUCACCCAGCCGCAUUCCUGCUUCCCCCACACUCUCACUUUGUAGCAAAAGUAGGUUACAACUAAAGUGUGGGUGUGUGUGAAAAUGCAUAGUACGAAAAAAACUCUGCGUGAAUUUCAAUUUCUGCACCAAAAUAAACUUAUUUUUC